CUUAUCUAAUUUACAUGCUUCUUUGAUAAAACUCAUUGUUAUACUGACAUUUUUUAUUCAUCUUUUUUAUGAUGUAAAGUUGCAUGCAAUAUCUUGCUAACAUUGUCAUAGGUUCAUAUUCCCUUUGUCAUGUUAUCAAUUUCCUACUCCACAUAUCCAUACAUCAUGAACUAUAAACGAAAGAGAUUUCAAACUCAAGCAGUGGCUCUCAUGCAAGCAUUAAUGUCGCUGCCAUUGGUCUCGGCACACUUUCUGGCCGUCGG
rnacentral:lncRNA from 1 species